rnacentral:misc_RNA from 1 species
UUUCCGUAGGUGAACCUGCGGAAGGAUCAUUAAAAAUGAAGCCGGGAAACCGGUCCUUCUCACCCUUGAUUAUCUCAAAUUGUUGCUUUGGUGGGCCGCGCAAGCACCGGCUUCGGCUGGAUUGUGCCCGCCAGAGGACCACAACUCUGUAUUAUGUGUCGUCUGAGUACUAUAAAAUAGUUAAAACUUUCAACAACGGAUCUCUUGGUUCUG